rnacentral:rRNA from 1 species
GAGUUUGAUCCUGGCUCAGGACGAACGCUGGCGGCGUGCUUAACACAUGCAAGUCGAACGAUGAAGCUGGAGCUUGCUCUAGCGGAUUAGUGGCGAACGGGUGAGUAACACGUGAGCAAUCUGCCCUUGACUCUGGGAUAACUGCGGGAAACUGUAGCUAAUACCGGAUACUUUCACCGGAAGGCAUCUUUUGGUGAUGAAAGAAUUUCGGUCAGGGAUGAGCUCGCGGCCUAUCAGCUUGUUGGUGAGGUAACGGCUCACCAAGGCGACGACGGGUAACCGGCCUGAGAGGGUGACCGGUCACACUGGGACUGAGACACGGCCCAGACUCCUACGGGAGGCAGCAGUGGGGAAUAUUGCACAAUGGGCGCAAGCCUGAUGCAGCAACGCCGCGUGAGGGAUGAAGGCCUUCGGGUUGUAAACCUCUUUUAGCAGGGAAGAA